GCUUACGGCCAUACCACGUUGAAUACACCAGUUCUCGUCCGAUCACUGAAGUUAAGCAACGUCGGGGCUCGGUUAGUACUUGGAUGGGUGACCGCCUGGGAAUACCGAGUGUCGUAAGCU
rnacentral:rRNA from 1 species